UCUCCCUUCAGGAAGCGCUUCUUUGCUGCUUUAUAGCCACUCUGUGACAUACUCACUAAUCCUGCUGUGAAGAGACUAGAUAUGCUCAAUUUGCCAAAGAAUGGCAGCGUUGCUUGGAAAUAAUUCACAGAACUUACAACACAGCUCAAAUACUUGUCACGCAGAAGCCAGGAGUUAUACGUCCAUUUGAGCAGCAACACAAUGGAUUGCAUUUCUUGGCUAAAAUAGCCCUGGGCAGGGCCCUGCGUCCCUUCUAUGUAUGCAAUGCUAUGGAAGGUUUGUGGAGCUGACAGAAAAACUUACGUUUCAAGGGAAUCGAUGACACUUUUCACAGAAGAAGAAAUGGAGGGAUUGGUCAUGCGAGGACAGCAUCAACAAUGUAAAGAUAACCCAAGCACGUGGUGACCUUGCUCAGUGCUCUGUCUGCCUAGUACAUUCCAUGCCCCAGGAAAAAGCAAAGAUGGGGGCUGAAUUGGUCAAAGGGGUCAUCGUCAUUCUCUGCAUCCUGACACACAGAGCAGAAAAGCUACACUGCCUGUUACUUCUUGCCAGGACCUUUCAACUGUACUAAACUGUGUGUGCACAGAUUCAAUUCAGAAGAGAAGUAUCACUUCUUUAAUUUCAGUUUAUUGACAUCCAAUUCUCCCUCUCUCUCUGCCCCUAUAUUUACUUAUGUCUUAAAUUGCAGUAGCCAUGCCAGCUGCUGCUAAUAGAGAGAUACUUCAUUAUUUUUCUGUUAUUAAGGAGGUAAGUAGGCUGAUGUGAAAAGUCAGAGUGCCAGCCUCAGCAUGUUGGGUUUUUUUUGAGAUGCACCCAACUUUGCAUAUUUUGGGUGACAUACAAUUGCAAAAGCCUCUCCUAGAUUCUGACCAUUCUAAGCAACCUCUAUGCAAGCACCUCAUUCACAUUUGUGAAGAAGAAAACACCUACUCCAUACAUGUGGUCGGCAUCAUUCAAGACAUCCAAAUAUAUCAGUGCUCAGGGCAUGCCCUAAAAUAUAGACCGAGCAAAGACCACCGUGGCUCUGGAGAGUGCACUUCAGCCAGCAGUCUGGGUAUUCAUACAGCCUUCUAAAUGUGGGGGCUGCUUAAGCCAAAAUAUCUGCAAAUGAGCUCUGAUCACCCCGUCUUGAGGUGUUUACUAAAUUUACAAAAAGUAACUCAGUAAAAUCACUGCUACAUCAAUGGAAAGUAGAACUGAACAGGAGGAAGAUAUGAAGACUUCCCUCUAGAAAAUACAAAACUACAAGGCUGGUGUGACUUAUUCUUUUGUUUGAUUAACUUUCAGAUCAUGUUUUACUACUGAAAGGGAAGAAAAGCACAAAUAAUCCAAAAUGAAUGCAUAGGCCUGGAAAGGUCCCUGGGAGGAUGCCCUUUUUUUAGGUUCAAAUAUAUGAUUUGACCUGUGGUGAUCGUGGGAAAGCCAAAUUGUGGCAAAAAAUAUCAAUGAAAGCAAAUGCAGAUGGUGGAAAUAUGGAUGUUCUUGAGCAAUACUGUUUCCAUUUUGACAACUACCUUUAUUUCCAAAAGCACACUCUUUUUAAUCCAUAUGCCAAUUAAAUCAAUAGAAAUUGCGUGUCUGCUUGCUAUUAUGUAUUUCACAAAAAUCUUCAG